UACGUAGGGUGCAGGCGUUAAUCGGAAUUACUGGGCGUAAAGCGUGCGCAGGCGGUCUUUUAAGUCAGAUGUGAAAUCCCCGGGCUUAACCUGGGAACUGCGUUUGAAACUGGAAGGCUAGAGUGUGGCAGAGGGGGGUGGAAUUCCACGUGUAGCAGUGAAAUGCGUAGAUAUGUGGAGGAACACCGAUGGCGAAGGCAGCCCCCUGGGCUAACACUGACGCUGAGACGCGAAAGCGUGGGGAGCAAACAGG
rnacentral:rRNA from 1 species